CCUACGGGUGGCAGCAGUAGGGAAUUUUCGUCAAUGGGCGCAAGCCUGAACGAGCAAUGCCGCGUGAACGAGGAAGGUCUUCGGAUCGGAAAGUUCUGUUGAAGGGGAAAUAGCGCGGAGAGAGGAAAUGCUUUCUGAUUGCUAUUACCCUUCGAGGAAGUCCCGGCUAACUACGUCAUAGCAGCCGCGGUAAUACGUAGGUGGCGAGCGUUAUCCGUAAUGAUUGGGCGUAAAGGGGGCGUAGGCGGCCUGCUAAGUCUGGAGUGAAAGUUACCGGCUCAACCGGUACAGUGCCUGGGAACUGGCGAGCUAGGGGGAAGGAGGAGGCAGGUGAACUCCAUGGGGAGCGGGAAAAAGCGUAGGUAAAUGGGAGAAAAUCAGUGGGGAAGGCGGGCGCCUUGCCUGUUAACUGACGCUGAGGCACGAAAGCGUGGGGAGCAAAUAGGAUUAGAUACCCCAGUAGUC
rnacentral:rRNA from 1 species